rnacentral:rRNA from 1 species
AUGAAAGGCCAAAGAAUGGAGCAUUGGCUUCAUGUUCUCAAACUCGAUAAUUUAGACGCUCCUUUCAUCGCUCCCGCGGCCGGCCUGGGAGCGAACCCAGCCGCCGCCGCCAGCGCCACAGCCCCCGUCCAUCCUCCCCUCGCCGCCGCCGGAGGGCGUCGCCGGGCAAAGCCCGGGCGGCAUCGGCGGCGGCGGGGCCCUUCCCUCCUCACGGUCGGGUUUGGGUGGCGCGGGACGCUCGAUUCAGCAGGGGUUCACGCUCUGGCGAGGGUGCUCGCGCUCGAGGCGUCGCGGCGAGGCAGCGCCGGCCGGCGCGGCGCGUGCGAAGUGGGUCGCGGUGGCCUGGUCGACACAGAGGUGUGGGUGCGCGACGCUGGCAAGUGGAGGUCUGAGGCGAGGCCCAUGCGGCGGAUCUGGCUGCCCUGGCGACGGCUUUGGGCGCCCGGUGACCGCGAGCAGCACGGCCGCGCGAGCUCGGCAGGGGUGCGGCGUGUGCAGCUGGUGGCUGCACGCGGUGAGGAUGUGGUGCUGCUGGAGGCUGCGCGGAUGUGGUGCUGCAGGGGCUGA